rnacentral:tRNA from 1 species
GGGCCGGUAGUUCAAAGGUAGAAUGCUGGCUUCGCAAGCCAGAGGGUAGGGGUUCGAGUCCCCUUCGGUCCA